rnacentral:rRNA from 1 species
GGGGGAUCGGUUACACUCAUCACCCUGUGACAUACCUAAAACGUUGCUUCGGCGGGAACAGACGGCCCCGUGAAACGGGCCGCCCCCGCCAGAGGACCCCCUAACUCUGUUGCUAUGUGUUUUUUCUGAGUAAACAAGCAAAUAAAUUAAAACUUUCAACAACGGAUCUCUUGGCUCUGGCAUCGAUGAAGAACGCAGCGAAAUGCGAUAAGUAAUGUGAAUUGCAGAAUUCAGUGAAUCAUCGAAUCUUUGAACGCACAUUGCGCCCGCCAGUAUUCUGGCGGGCAUGCCUGUUCGAGCGUCAUUACAACCCUCAGGCCCCCGGGCCUGGCGUUGGGGAUCGGCGAGGCGCCCCCUGCGGGCACGCGCCGUCCCCCAAAUACAGUGGCGGUCCCGCCGCAGCUUCCAUUGCGUAGUAGCUAACACCUCGCAACUGGAGAGCGGCGCGGCCAUGCCGUAAAACACCCAACUUCUGAAUGUUGACCUCGAAUCAGGUAGGAAUACCCGCUGAACUUAAGCAUAUCAAAACCGGGAGGAA